UGAGGGCACGUCUGCCUGGGUGUCACG
rnacentral:rRNA from 8 species